rnacentral:rRNA from 1 species
ACGGCUCAGUAACACGUGGAUAACCUACCCUCAGAUCUGGGAUAACUCCGGGAAACUGGAGAUAAUACCGGAUAAUCCGUGAACGCUGGAAUGCCUCACGGUUGAAAGCUUUAGCGUCUGAGGAUGGGUCUGCGGCCGAUUAGGUAGUUGCUGGGGUAACGUCCCAACAAGCCGAUAAUCGGUACGGGUUGUGAGAGCAAGAGCCCGGAGAUGGAUUCUGAGACACGAAUCCAGGUCCUACGGGGCGCAGCAGGCGCGAAAACUUUACACUGCGCGAAAGCGCGAUAAGGGGACCUCGAGUGCGUGCGCAAUGCGUACGCUUUUCAGAUGCCUAAAAAGCAUCCGGAAUAAGGGCCGGGCAAGACCGGUGCCAGCCGCCGCGGUAACACCGGCGGCUCAAGUGGUGGCCGCUAUUAUUGGGCUUAAAGGGUCCGUAGCCGGACCAGUUAGUCCCUUGGGAAAUCUUACGGCUUAACCGUAAGGCUGCCAAUGGAUACUGCUGGUCUUGGGACCGGGAGAGGCAAGAGGUACCUCAGGGGUAGGAGUGAAAUCCUGUAAUCCUUGAGGGACCGCCAGUGGCGAAGGCGUCUUGCUAGAACGGGUCCGACGGUGAGGGACGAAAGCUAGGGGCACGAACCGGAUUAGAUACCCGGGUAGUCCUAGCCGUAAACGAUACUCGCUAGGUGUCGGCCACGGUGCGACCGUGGUCGGUGCCGUAGGGAAGCCGUGAAGCGAGCCACCUGGGAAGUACGGCCGCAAGGCUGAAACUUAAAGGAAUUGGCGGGGGAGCAC